AUGGCAGCCCUUUUAAAAUGUAAAAAAACCCUCCUCUCGCCCUCCCUCCCCGACUGUCAGUUUGUCAGAGGCGUUUGGCAGUCCAAGGGCAGCCUGAGUUCUGGAUGGAGGCAGCUCGGGUCCGGGAGGAAUCCUGCUCCGUUUGUAAUUUUGGGACGCAGAAACCCGCUCGCGGCCGCCCGGCCGCUGGACGUGAAUGGCACCCCUUUUCCGUGGGAAAGAAAACUCACCUCUGCAGAAUUCUACAAAACCCAGAAUGCACUGGCCUCAUCAGAGAUGUCAUCCUAUGGCAUGCCCAGAAAAACUGGAUUAAUGGGACCGAAUCCUGGCGGCAAGCACUGAAACCGAUAUCACUUCUCAAGUCCCACUGCUGGGCUCAACCUCACUGAAGGAUGACGGGAGGGAGUACACAGUGCUUCAUCUUUCACUGUCAGCCCUCAAAACCACUUUCACAAAAGAAGGAAAAAAGCACGUAUCCUGUUUCUAGAUGGCUCCUGUGGGUUUGGACACUAUCUGUUAUUAACAUAAAAGUCAGGAAACAAAAUCAUGACAUCUUUUAGGUCAGAAAAAACCUUUAUGACCAUCAAGUCCAACCAUUAACCCGGGAUUGCCAAGGCCACCGCUAAUCCUUGUCCUCGAGUGCCACGUGCACCCAUUUUUUCAAUCCCUCCAAGGAUGGUUACUCCACCAGUGCCCUGGGCAGCCUGUUCCAAUGAUGGACAGCCCUUUUGGUGAAGAAAUUUUCCCUAGUAUCUCAUGUAAACCUCCCCUGGUGCAACUUGAGGCCAUUUCCUCUCAUCCUGCUGCUUUACUUGGUAGAAGAGAGAAUCAUUUAGGUUAGAAAAGACUUUUGACAUCCUUGAGUCCAAUGUCAGGAUCUUUCACUGGUCUCCAGGGUAUGGUGUGAUGCUUUUCAUUUUCAGGUGAAUGAAAUAAGAUCCCUGAGGCAAAGCUGUGCUCCCUGCAUAUCAGACAUACCAAAAUACUUCCGUACAGCAGCCUUUUGAUAUGUCUGACACCCAGACUCAUGCUGGGCCUGCCUAAGUGUCAUCCUUGAGAAAGCUUUCGUCCCUUUAAACAUUCAUGUGCCCUUUCUUCUUCUCAUGUAUUUUUACUACUAACAGGUUUCCCAGCUGAUAACACAGCAAUGAGUACAUUAUUCAGCCUGGAUUGCUGACUUGACUGCUGGCAGUCUCCAUUACAGCAACAUCUUCCAACACUUACGGGUGAGGAUCCCAAGCUUUAUCUGAGUGUCCUGGCAGAACGUGGCUGAUGCUGCAGGGCGUAAUGGGGAGAGGCAGUGGGAUGGGACUAGAGCCAGGGAUCUCUGUCCAGACUCUACUCGGC
rnacentral:lncRNA from 1 species